rnacentral:hammerhead_ribozyme from 1 species
GUACUGUGAGGAGUCCCACAAUAGGACGAAACGGUCGUCCAGUGC